AUUUAAAUAGCUUAUAAAAAAGUAUAAUAUUGAAGAUAUUAGGAAAAUUAAAAUUAAUUUUUAAAUA
rnacentral:tRNA from 1 species